rnacentral:rRNA from 1 species
CCUACGGGAGGCAGCAGUGAGGAAUAUUGGUCAAUGGACGAGAGUCUGAACCAGCCAAGUAGCGUGAAGGAUGACUGCCCUAUGGGUUGUAAACUUCUUUUAUAUGGGAAUAAAAUGUUCCACGUGUGGGAUUUUGUAUGUACCAUAUGAAUAAGGAUCGGCUAACUCCGUGCCAGCAGCCGCGGUAAUACGGAGGAUCCGAGCGUUAUCCGGAUUUAUUGGGUUUAAAGGGAGCGUAGGUGGAUUGUUAAGUCAGUUGUGAAAGUUUGCGGCUCAACCGUAAAAUUGCAGUUGAAACUGGCAGUCUUGAGUACAGUAGAGGUGGGCGGAAUUCGUGGUGUAGCGGUGAAAUGCUUAGAUAUCACGAAGAACUCCGAUUGCGAAGGCAGUUCACUGGACUGCAACUGACACUGAGGAUCGAAAGUGUGGGUAUCAAACAGGAUUAGAUACCCCUGUAGUC